rnacentral:lncRNA from 1 species
AAGUAUAAAUUGAAUCAACGAACCCACUUGGGUUGGCUUAGUGGUAUUGGCUUGGGAUCUGGGAGUGUGCUCCUCCUCAAAGUCUUAGGUUCGAUUCUCUCUGGUGUCAAUUUAGGUGAGUUAGUUUAACUUCUUAAAAAAAAAAAAAUUUGAAUCAACGAACAUGUAAAUAUUUGGAAUGAGCUUUAGUCAUAUUUCCUAUAAGAAAAGUAUAAUUAGAAAGGUUUAAAAGAAAAAAUUAAAAUAUUUAAAAAUAAAAUUCGAGGAAAAAAAAUUGAUACAUUUUUUAACUCAUGUUAGGAUAAUCCAUGUCAAACCUCGAUCCCAUGGGAAUAAUACAAUCCUUCAGAAGUAGAGCAAUAACACGCAUUGUUCCUUGAAUACCGCGUCCAAUCGCUCCCUAUGUUGGCUUUGCUUUCUAUCUUUGUCUAGGUGUUGCUCUUAUUGUAGCCUUUCUUCUGUUUUGUUUUUUUUAUGUGGUGGUGCUUUGGAUGUCGUCUCCUUGUUGUUUUGUUUAGUAGGGGGCCGAACCUUGGUGUUAUUUGGAACGUCUUUUGGCAGUUCAUCUAGUGUAUUUUGUACAAUUUACUAUUUUCUAUAUAUAUAUAUAUAUAUUUGUCA